CCCAAUGUAGAAAGACAUGAAAACAACUUGGCUGGAAAAUUCAGUUGUGCCAUGGUGUCAAAAUCACUUGAUGAAUAAACUUUACCCUCUUGUUGUAAAUAAAAGGACCCAGAGAAAACUAGAAAGCAGAAUACCAGUGUUGCACAUUUGGGGUUCAGUUUCUUCCACAAGAAGUCACAGAAGUCAGCAGGAAUCAGCCAGAUGUCAAAGGAGGGCCUGAUUUUGCAGGUUUCCAACUGGAUUUGAUGACAACUUUCCUUCUUCAAUGCAGUGAAUAAACAAGAUUCUUGCAUGUCACAUGACAAAUGUGACUAUUUGUGUAAUAAUAUGCUAUGCCUGUUAUACAAUAUUUUAGUUAUUGCCAAGUCACAAUCAGCAUCCUGUAAAGCCUACUAGGGUGGCUCACUUAAAAUUGAGACAGUCAAUGGGACCGAUACGUCAACCCUCAACAUCUUUGGGAAGCUUUGACGUACAGGAAAAUGGAAGGUAUCUCUGUUUCACUCGAUAACUACUCAAGGAAUUGUGUAGAGGCCAAGUGUGAAAUGUUCAGUUGUCUAAAACCUAUCAUUGAAUUGUUACAUUGUGUGUUCAGUUAAAAAAAUGAAUGUUGUCAACUCCAAACUACAAAUUUUUGCUUGUAUUUCAUGAUAAAAAAUUUUGUGGGUUUCUAGCGAAAGUCAUCAGAGUCCUAGAAGGUGCGUUUCACACUCUGGAUCCCCCCAAAAUAUUAACCUUACUGUGGGCUUUUGUCAUAUCUUAGACAGUAGUUAUGUAAAACUAUUAUUUCCAUUUGUCCUUAGGAUUGGGAAUUACAAUUAAAGAUUCAGUAUUUAUACAA